CCUUCUUUAAAUUUCCUCUGAUUGCCAUACUGUUACUGUAUCUUUACUCACUAAACUUUUUAUUUACAUUACUGGGCUGAGUGUGUCUUGGUGGACCUACCAAUCUUUUCCACUUUAAACAGCCAAGGUCAAACGGGUUCCCUCUCUAAAUAUCACUUAUUAUUCUUUAUUUUUUUUUGUCUCUAAUUAUUGCAUAUUUGCAUUUCCAACAUGUUAUUUAUACCUCUGGACUGAUCAGGGUGAAGGACAUUUUAGAGCCAGUCAGUGAGGCCCAGUUUUCCUGUAAUUGGACCUUGGACCCUGUGUCACAGGUUGAGGAUUUGCCCCUGUGGUCCUGCAAGUGGAGGAAGUCCAAAAAUGUGGUGACCUGUAGUUCUCCUGGCUUGGACUUGCUGAUGUCUGUGCCUGGCUGGACUGACUAGAGGAUGAAGUGCUCAGUGUUCUGAGAAGUGAACCAACAUGGCAGUAUGCCUAGGUGGACCUACCAGUCUUUUCCACGCAACAGAGUGAACCUUUCAACCGUGGCCAAGUGCAUCUGAGCUUGAAACAAUCCUUACUGUUAGAAGUAUUGAAGGAUUGUCUCAACUUUGUGAAGAAUCUGCGAAUACAGCGGAUUAUGAGAAUCCAUUGGUAACUCUGACCCAUUUGGUUGAAACAACGGGUCUCUUAACGCUGCCAGGAUUCAAUGCAGUACCCAGUACCUCCGCGGGUUGCGAACCCCGCGCUUUGUCGAAGUUUAAGCCCUGUUUAACAAGCAGUCCUGGGUGCUUGCCACAGAGUCCUCAAAGUGCUGCUGAUAAGUCUGCUUCCGGCGGAAAACAUCCAAGGAUAUGUAUGAGCACAAAUAACGGGUCAAUUUCACGUGGGAAACGUCUUGGGUUUGAUGAUGGCUACAAAUCUUUAGAUUUGCGCACCAGUGACCGCACUGCAUGUGGUGAUGUGCUGCGGACAGGAACGGCGUCGGAGGGUGACUGUCGUCUGAACUGAGGAGUUUUUGAAUACUUGAGACCAAAACAGUUUCACAGAAAAGCCAGAUGAGGCGGAGGAUACUGGACCAAUUAAUACUGGACUAACUCCAAUAUCGGAACAAGUGAGAGACAUUGAUGGAGAGGGCUUAAAAUCGAAUCAGGAGCAUGGACGUCAGGUAAGCGGCUCUUGCCUUUCUAGCGAUGUUAAUGAGUUUAGGACAUUGCUGGGUCUGCAUUCUCAAGAGAUUACCAAAAAUACCAUUGAGCAGCGUAGACAAGGUGCUAUUGUGCAUAGAUUAAAUAAUAUUGUUCAAAAACUCACUGAAAAUAAUCGGAAAUUAGUAAAAGAAAACCGUAUACAGUUAGAACAGGUAUCAAAGCACAUACAGAUGGUACAGGUUAUGCGUGAAGAACAAAAUGCACAUUUUAAAUCUUUAACAGAUGUAAUAUUUAAACUCAACAGGCUUUUACAGUUAAAAACUUCACCAAUUGUCUGUUGCAGGACCAUCCAAAUAGUUAUUGUGUGCCAAUUUGAAAAUUUUUGUUCUUUACAUACAUUCCUGUUUACCUAUUAAACAAACCACAUCAUCAGUACGUCAUAAAUUGUUUAAAUAAUUUAGUAAAAAGAAACAAACAAAAAUAAUGGUCUAAAAGUUCUCGGGAGUCAGACAACAAUCCGUGUGUUAGCGACACAAAUGAUGUUUGGGAACAGAUGUCUAUUAGCGAAUUAGUUUAAAUGAUGAGUAUGAGUCGUCUACUAGUAUUAAUCUGCAAAACACACUCAACACAACGCAAAUGUUAAUGAUUAUCACACCUGAUGGUUUACAGACCACAUUGGAUAAAUGGUUCUCAAAUAAAAACAACGCAAUACACAGCCCGCCAACAUGUUGUAGAUGCGGUGAUAAUUAUGGACAUUCCGUAGGUUUUAUGUAUAAUACCACCAUAACCAAUGCUUGGGAGCAGACAGCUAUUAGUGAACGACUGCUAUGCUUAAAUGAUGAGUGAGUCAGCUCUAACUUUCUUAGAAAACCCAGUACAAAAUAUGCUACACCUAAACAGAACACAGGCACUGGUCUGCAGACAGAUUUCCUACACUCGAUCCAGCAACUCCUAACUUUGGUUUAUCUAGUAAUGAUAUGGCACAGUUGGUGAGAAAUGGUGGUGAAAUAAGCGGAUAUACUGUAGUGCUGAGAAUUAGGUUUAAUAGUGUUGUGCUACACAGGACGCUGAAUUUACAUGACGCCCCGUCCACAGACAUGGCCUCAUACACCGUCUAUGUACACAAUAUACUAUCAGACAUUGUAUCGUUCUCCAGGGUGUUGGCUGGUGAUGGUAGUGUUAUCAACAUUACCCUAAGAGGUGAUAGCAUUUACAUCAGAUGUUAAACUGUUGUCAAGAGACAGUUACAAUGUUGACAGGUUUGCAGACACAAUUGAAAAGGUUAUGCAGAGUAACAAGAACAUUACAACAGACAAUAGUUUGAUGUUGACUGUCUCCAUAGCUAUGAGUAAAAAUGGCGGUGUUCAGCAUAAGGUGCUUGACCUCGCGCACAAUCAGGUGAUUGAUAGGAACAGAAUGAACCUCUUUUGCCCAACGAACAUUUCAAAUCUGUUUUGCGAUCUGUCUUGCUCAUUUUCUGAACCCACAUGCACCACAACACGUUAGAAACUAUAGCCAAUCAGAUACAGGCAAAGGCUGGUUACAUGCGUGAUCACAAGGUCGGGUUUAAUGACUGGUCAUUUGGUGUUAAAAUAGUUGUUUCACAAAUAGUUCAUGUGGUUUAGAGAUGUACCAAACGAAAGACAAACCACAUGCCAGGACUGUUUCUAUAUCUCCAUGAUGGCCAUUAUUGCUUGGUAAAAAAUUUGAAAGCGUUCAUGGGUGUACUGUAUGUUUAAGUUUUGUUGGUGUGCACUAACACAAGGGGUCGUAGUUGUAAAUAUCAUUGCGAUGUGUGUCAGGACACAGAAUGCAGUCAAACCCAAACAUGUCAAAUAUUGUGAUGACUGUUCACGCUACUGUAAAUUUAACUAUUGUUAUGACCAACACAAGAAAAAGAAACAACCUAUUACUGGGGAGAUGGCGUCCUCAUGCAAUUUGACUAAAUACUGUGGAUCAUGUGGUCAACGUUAUCAUGCUGGUUUAACUAAGUCAAAACCCCACAAGUGUAUGUCAGGUCAUUGUGUUCACUGUCAUGAAGAAUCAUCAGAUACAACACAAUGUUACAUACAGCCGAUCAAAUUAAAAGAACCAAGUGAGGCUUGCAUCUUCUUUGACUUUGAGACAUGAUUUGAAAAUGGUAAGCAUGAAGCUAACUUUGUUCAGCGAAACUUAUGUUCAGAGAAGGGGCAUUUUCAACAAACAUUUAAUUUGACGCAAAAUGAGAACUAUGGGACCUUUUUACAGCUAUGACUCAAUGAGUAACAAGGACAGAAAGCAGUUUGACAAGUGGUACAGCACAGUCUCUGAUGUGUAACUUCAAAAAGGAGUUGUUUGUUUAUACAAUGUUUUAUUACGUGAAGCUUGCAUUAAGUAUCAUGACGAGUUCAUUCAGUGUACAAAGCUAGACCCGUUUAAUUAUACAACAUUAGCAUCAUGUUGCAUGGCUGUGUACAAGACACAUUUUCUACCAAACCCUAACUCAUGUUGAAAUGAAGUUUGGUGUGUAUUAUGUGGAUGGGUAUUAUGAAAAGGAUGGCGUACAAAAAGCCUUAAUUUAACGGGUGUAGGCAUCAUGGUCAUGAAUGUUGUUACAGUCCGAACCAGCCUCAUCUGAUGUCAAAGGUGUUGUAUGGUGAAUUGCAAAAACAGUAACACCAAGGUACAGAUCCUUGUUCGAGCAUAUGGUCUAGAGGUGGAAGUAAUGUGGGAAUGUGAGUGGGCCAAAGCUAAGAGGGAUGACUUGGGUGUAGCCGCUUUCAUGUCUAACUACACACCGCCUGAAAGGUUGAAACCAAGAGAUGCGCUCUUUGGUGGCAGAACCAACGCAUAUAAGCUGUAUUACAAAGCAAAGGAGGGUGAGAAAAUCAGAUAUUUGGACUUCACUAGUUUGUACCCGUUCUGUCAGGCUAGAAAGAAAUACCCUGUAGGUCAUCCUCAAAUAUUUUUCAAAAAUUUUUGACCUCUGGAGGAGUACUAUGGUUUAGUCAAGGCUACCGUACAUCCACCAAAAAAACUCCUACACCCUGUGUUACCAUACCGCUGCAAUGGUAAGUUAACGUUCCCACACUGUCGUAUUUGUGCCGAGCAGGAAAGCCAACUUCAAACUUGCGCACACAGUGAUGAAGACACAUCCAUCACCAGGUCUUGGGUUAGUAUUGAGCUGAUGAAGGCUAUUGAGAGGGCAUGUGGUGGCAAAAAUCCAUGAGGUUUGGCAUUUUCCAGAGAGUUCAGAGACGUUGUUCUGCGAGUAUGUAAAGACUUUUUUACAGUACAAGCAGGAGGCCAGUGGUUAUCCAGAACAUGCUGUCACAGGGGAAGAGAGGGCAGAGUACAUCAGGGAUUAUUUUGAGAAGGAAAAGGUUCAGCUGAAUCCUGACAAGAUAAGCCUUUACCAAGCACGUCGGUCUAUUAAGAAAUUGUUAAAGCUUGUGGGGUUGUUUUUUUUUCAAUAAGGGAAAACUUGCCAGUGUCCGAGAUGUUGACUAAUCCAGAACAGUUUUCACUGCACAUAUUUGGUGACGGAUAUGACGUUAAACACUUCAUUUGUGUCUGAUGCCACAGUGUUGAUUCAGGAGUGCUAUUCUGCUGGAGACAGCUGCCCAACACGUGACGAUGUGUUUCUUGGUGCUUUUACAACAGCGCACACUCAUUUAGAACUUUACAAUCUGAUGGAUAGAUUAGGUGACAGACUCUUGUACAGCGAUACCGAGUUAUUUUUGUUUUCUCGUGAAGGCGAUUGGGAACCCCCUCUGGGGCCCUACUUAGGUGAUUUGACAGACGAAAUUGGUGGUGAUUACAUUAGAGUUCUGCUUGGCAGGGCCUAAGACAUACGGUUAUCACACAGCAACCGUUAAAACAUGUAUGAAAGCAAAAGGUAUCACACUAAACUCUGACAAUUCAAGUCAUUAGACUAUACAUACUGAUUGGUCUUGUCGAUCAUUAUGUGGUAAAUCGUGACCGUAGUCGACAUGUACUGGCUCGUGCAGACGGCAUCGUAAGAAAUAAAAAGAACCUCACGCUGAAAAACAAGUCAGUGGUGAAACGCUUUAAAGUCGUAUACAACAAACGGGUCCUGUUGUCUGAUUUUUCAACACUCCCUUAUGGAUACUAAAGGUGUCCAUCACUAUCAUGGGGUGCGAGAUGUUGAAGGGUUUGAUUUUAGAUUACAUCCUUUUUCUUGUGUAAUAAGUGGACCAUCAAAUUCUGGAAAAACAUUUUUUGUAAAACAGUUGAUGGAACGUGCUGAUGAGUUGGUUUCAGAGAAAAUAGAAAACAUGGUAUUCAUUUGAUUGUUGGCAACCCUUUUAUGAUGUUAAAUAAUAAAUAUUAAUUUUGUUCAAGGGAUACCAACAUCACUAAAUGACAACACACUUUUGCCACUUAACAGAAAUAAUUUGUUAAUUAUUGAUGUUAUGAAAGCUGCUAGCAAUAAUGCUGAGGUGGAAAAGGUAAUUAUGCAGUAUGUACACCAUCGAGAUUUAAGUGCCAUUUACCUAAUACAGAAUUUAUUUUUUAGUCUAGUAGGACAAUUUAGUUUGAACACAAAUUACCUCAUUGUUUGAAAAUCCUUGAGGCAACAAUCAGGUAUUAGACAGAUAUACCCUGGUAAUACAAAGUUUUUUUUGAACAGAGACACGUUAUUUUACAAGCAGCAUCUAAUGAACUUAUUUUAACUCUGAAGUGGCUCUUAACGUACUUAACGGUACCAUACCUCUCACAUCAACACAAUAUCAUGUGUUAAAGAAGUGUGAAUUUUUUUGCUGAUAAAGAUUGGUGUUUUCAUGAAAAAAGAGUAAGUAGUCAGAAAGGGGGUUUUCUUCUACCGUCGUUAAGAAAUGCUUUACCGUUUAUAACAAGUUUGAUAAACAAAUGUUUUUGGUACCACGACACCAGUUGGAUAAGUUAAAUUGUAGAAAAUGACUUGGAUGUGUCUAUUAGAAAUAUUUUUUUGGGUAGGAAUGAUCUUGACGCUCAUGAGAAAGCCGAGCUUUAUGCCGCUCUUUUGCAGAGAUAUUUAACCAUUUGCUAAACGGGGAUAUGGAGACCAACACUUUAACAUUGUCCCUACCACACGCAGAUAAUAUUAAUAAGGAUGUAAAUGUUGAUCAGACUGACAAAAUGAUGUAAUCAUUGUUCUUAGAAAUGUACUCUCACGAAGGAAGAGGAAUGUUCAGUAUGUUUUAGAUAAAAUGUCUAAAUCAAAAGAUUUGUCUUCUUGGAAUGAAUCAGGAGAAUGUGUCUUGCAUGGAAAUCCAAUCCCUGGGUCACAUUCUGGACUUGGUGAAAAGUAUCAUGAUUUUCUAGAGGCUUUUGCUGUUCUAAAUAUACUACUUUCUACCAUACCAAACAAGCAUGUAAGACAAAAUUAUUUUGUUAAAGUAAAAAUCUGUUGGUUAUGCUACAAGACUUUUCGCAAACACCUGUUAAGUGUUGAAACCCCACCAUUUAUCUCCCCCAUUCUAGUAAAUGG